AUGGCAGAUGCUGAGGAAGAGGAUGAGGUUGAUGUGGAAGAGGAACAGGAGGAAGAUGUUGUGGAAGAGGAACAUGAUGAAUAUGCACAGUCAGAUGUAGAUGAUGGCAGUCUUUCUCAUGCUGGAAGAGGAGUUAGUGAUUCAGAAAAUGGGGAUGAAAUUGUGGACAGUGAUUAUGCUAUAUCUGAUGGAGAUGUAGAUCUUCUAGAAGAUCAAAUAGAAGAGGUGGUAAUAGAUGUAAAAGGAAAGAAAGCUGCAGAUAUUGGAGCUUCUUCUGAUGAGGAAGAUCUUCAGAUGCCAGAUUCUGAUGAGGAUGAGCUGAAGCACAACUUCAAUACAUUCAGGCCAGAAGAUAUGCAUGAUCCUAUGUUCAAAGUUGGACAGUUAUUCCAGUCACCAGAGAUGUUAAGGAAAGCCAUUAGGGAAUAUUUAAAUUGUUAG
rnacentral:rRNA from 1 species